AACGAACGCUGGCGGCAUGCCUAACACAUGCAAGUCGAACGAAGCCUUCGGGCUUAGUGGCGCACGGGUGCGUAACGCGUGGGAAUCUGCCCCUGGGUUCGGAAUAAAAGUUAGAAAUGACUGCAAAUACCGGAUGAUGUCUUAGGACCAAAGAUUUAUCGCCCAAGGAGGAGCCCGCGUAGGAUUAGGUAGUUGGUGGGGUAAUGGCCCACCAAGCCGACGAUCCUUAGCUGGUCCGAGAGGAUGAUCAGCAACACUGGGACUGAGACACGGCCCAGACUCCUACGGGAGGCAGCAGUGGGGAAUAUUGGACAAUGGGCGAAAGCCUGAUCCAGCAAUGCCGCGUGAGCGAUGAAGGCCUUAGGGUUGUAAAGCUCUUUUACCAGGGAUGAUAAUGACAGUACCCGGAGAAUAAGCUCCGGCUAACUCCGUGCCAGCCGCCGCCGUAAUAC
rnacentral:rRNA from 1 species